GAACCCGCAGCAGCUCCCAGGAUGAACUGGUUGCAGUGGCUGCUGCUGCUGCGGGGGCGCUGAGAGGACACGAGCUCUAUGCCUUUCCGGCUGCUCAUCCCGCUCGGCCUCCUGUGCGCGCUGCUGCCUCAGCACCAUGGUGCGCCAGGUCCCGACGGCUCCGCGCCAGAUCCCGCCCACUACAGGUGAACUGUGACCCGCCCUUUCGCAGUUGGGGAAUGGGAAGCGUGAACCCGGUCCUUUCCCUUUCCGUCCAUCCCAGACCCCGACUUGCUCCGACACAGCCGCUAGGUCCCAGGGAGAAAUCAGCUAGUGAUUCCCACUUUCCGCCCUGUAUCUUGUUCUUCCCCCGCUUGUUUUUGUGUUCUUGCCCCAUGCCUGAUUUCUCGUCCCCCACCCAGGGAGCGAGUCAAGGCCAUGUUCUACCACGCCUACGACAGCUACCUGGAGAAUGCCUUUCCCUUCGAUGAGCUGCGACCUCUCACCUGUGACGGGCACGACACCUGGGGCAGUUUUUCUCUGACUCUAAUUGAUGCACUGGACACCUUGCUGAUUUUGGGGAAUGUCUCAGAAUUCCAAAGAGUGGUUGAAGUGCUCCAGGACAGCGUGGACUUUGAUAUUGAUGUGAACGCCUCUGUGUUUGAAACAAACAUUCGAGUGGUAGGAGGACUCCUGUCUGCUCAUCUGCUCUCCAAGAAGGCUGGGGUGGAAGUAGAGGCUGGAUGGCCCUGUUCCGGGCCUCUCCUGAGAAUGGCUGAGGAGGCGGCCCGAAAACUCCUCCCAGCCUUUCAGACCCCCACUGGCAUGCCAUAUGGAACAGUGAACUUACUUCAUGGCGUGAACCCAGGAGAGACCCCUGUCACCUGUACGGCAGGGAUUGGGACCUUCAUUGUUGAAUUUGCCACCCUGAGCAGCCUCACUGGUGACCCGGUGUUCGAAGAUGUGGCCAGAGUGGCUUUGAUGCGCCUCUGGGAGAGCCGGUCAGAUAUCGGGCUGGUCGGCAACCACAUUGAUGUGCUCACUGGCAAGUGGGUGGCCCAGGACGCAGGCAUCGGGGCUGGCGUGGACUCCUACUUUGAGUACUUGGUGAAAGGAGCCAUCCUGCUUCAGGAUAAGAAGCUCAUGGCCAUGUUCCUAGAGUAUAACAAAGCCAUCCGGAACUACACCCGCUUCGAUGACUGGUACCUGUGGGUUCAGAUGUACAAGGGGACUGUGUCCAUGCCAGUCUUCCAGUCCUUGGAGGCCUACUGGCCUGGUCUUCAGAGCCUCAUUGGAGACAUUGACAAUGCCAUGAGGACCUUCCUCAACUACUACACUGUAUGGAAGCAGUUUGGGGGGCUCCCGGAAUUCUACAACAUUCCUCAGGGAUACACAGUGGAGAAGCGAGAGGGCUACCCACUUCGGCCAGAACUUAUUGAAAGCGCAAUGUACCUCUACCGUGCCACGGGGGAUCCCACCCUCCUAGAACUCGGAAGAGAUGCUGUGGAAUCCAUUGAAAAAAUCAGCAAGGUGGAGUGCGGAUUUGCAACAAUCAAAGAUCUGCGAGACCACAAGCUGGACAACCGCAUGGAGUCGUUCUUCCUGGCCGAGACUGUGAAAUACCUCUACCUCCUGUUUGACCCAACCAACUUCAUCCACAACAAUGGGUCCACCUUCGACGCGGUGAUCACCCCCUAUGGGGAGUGCAUCCUGGGGGCUGGGGGGUACAUCUUCAACACAGAAGCUCACCCCAUCGACCCUGCCGCCCUGCACUGCUGCCAGAGGCUGAAGGAAGAGCAGUGGGAGGUGGAGGACUUGAUGAGGGAAUUCUACUCUCUCAAACGGAGCAGGUCGAAAUUUCAGAAAAACACUGUUAGUUCGGGGCCAUGGGAACCUCCAGCAAGGCCAGGAACACUCUUCUCACCAGAAAACCAUGACCAGGCAAGGGAGAGGAAGCCUGCCAAACAGAAGGUCCCACUUCUCAGCUGCCCCAGUCAGCCCUUCACCUCCAAGUUGGCAUUACUGGGACAGGUUUUCCUAGACUCCUCAUAACCACUGGAUAAUUUUUUUAUUUUUAUUUUUUUGAGGCUAAACUAUAAUAAAUUGCUUUUGGCUAUCAUA